rnacentral:rRNA from 1 species
AGGACAGUGUAUGGUGGGCAGUUUGACUGGGGCGGUCUCCUCCUAAAGAGUAACGGAGGAGUACGAAGGUGCGCUCAGACCGGUCGGAAAUCGGUCGCAGAGUAUAAAGGCAAAAGCGCGCUUGACUGCGAGACAGACACGUCGAGCAGGUACGAAAGUAGGUCUUAGUGAUCCGGUGGUUCUGUAUGGAAGGGCCAUCGCUCAACGGAUAAAAGGUACUCCGGGGAUAACAGGCUGAUACCGCCCAAGAGUUCAUAUCGACGGCGGUGUUUGGCACCUCGAUGUCGGCUCAUCACAUCCUGGGGCUGAAGCCGGUCCCAAGGGUAUGGCUGUUCGCCAUUUAAAGUGGUACGCGAGCUGGGUUUAGAACGUCGUGAGACAGUUCGGUCCCUAUCUGCCGUGGACGUUUGAGAUUUGAGAGGGGCUGCUCCUAGUACGAGAGGACCGGAGUGGACGAACCUCUGGUGUUCCGGUUGUCACGCCAGUGGCAUUGCCGGGUAGCUAUGUUCGGAAAAGAUAACCGCUGAAAGCAUCUAAGCGGGAAACUUGCCUCAAGAUGAGAUCUCACUGGGAACUUGAUUCCCCUGAAGGGCCGUCGAAGACUACGACGUUGAUAGGCUGGGUGUGUAAGCGUUGUGAGGCGUUGAGCUAACCAGUACUAAUUGCCCGUGAGGCUUGACCAUAUAACACCCAAACA